rnacentral:rRNA from 1 species
UGAGGAAUAUUGGACAAUGGGUGAGAGCCUGAUCCAGCCAUCCCGCGUGAAGGACGACGGCCCUAUGGGUUGUAAACUUCUUUUGUAUAGGGAUAAACCUUUCCACGUGUGGAAAGCUGAAGGUACUAUACGAAUAAGCACCGGCUAACUCCGUGCCAGCAGCCGCGGUAAUACGGAGGGUGCAAGCGUUAUCCGGAUUUAUUGGGUUUAAAGGGUCCGUAGGCGGAUCUGUAAGUCAGUGGUGAAAUCUCAUAGCUUAACUAUGAAACUGCCAUUGAUACUGCAGGUCUUGAGUAAAGUAGAAGUGGCUGGAAUAAGUAGUGUAGCGGUGAAAUGCAUAGAUAUUACUUAGAACACCAAUUGCGAAGGCAGGUCACUAUGUUUUAACUGACGCUGAUGGACGAAAGCGUGGGGAGCGAACA